GAGGAGAGGAAGUGCGGCUGAAGGGCUGGGUAAUGAAGACACCCUGAAAUCACUGGAAAGGGAGCUCUAAGCAGGGCCAGCACAUCCGUCAGCCAGCACCGCUUCCCGGAGCCCCCAGUGGCCUGGAACAGCGAACCGCAGCCAGUGGGAGCUGUGAUCGGCCGAACCAGUGGCCACGGCAGGAAAAGUGUUCUGAUCUGAAACCGGAAAUGAUGCAGAAGAGUGCAAGUGGUCACUUGUUUGUUUAAUGGGUUUUAGACCAGGAAACUGUAGAAGGCCCACAGUGACUUGAGAAGAGACACAUGACAAACCAGCUACUAUUCAGCAAAGUUAAUACAGCCAGGAUCUGUCUUAACUUUCUUGUGGGGUUUCUCCAUUUUUGAGAACUCCUUUAAAAGGGGGUUAUAAGAGUAGCUGCAGAGUGCUACCACCCACACUUGCCUCUG